rnacentral:rRNA from 1 species
GAUGAACGCUAGCGAUAGGCUUAACACAUGCAAGUCGAGGGGCAGCAUGGUCUUAGCUUGCUAAGGCUGAUGGCGACCGGCGCACGGGUGCGUAACGCGUAUGCAACUUGCCUCACAGAGGGGAAUAACCGGCCAAAGAACGGCCAAAAACCCCUACAACUCAAGGUUGGGCUUCCAAGUGAAAGGAAAUGAAAUUGCCUGUGGGAAAGGCAUGCGUACCAUUAGCUAGUUGGUGAGGUAACGGCUCACCAAGGCGACGAUGGGUAGGGGAACUGAGAGGUUGAACCCCCACACUGGUACUGAGACACGGACCAGACUCCUACGGGAGGCAGCAGUGAGGAAUAUUGGUCAAUGGGCGAGAGCCUGAACCAGCCAAGUCGCGUGAAGGAUGACUGUCUUAUGGAUUGUAAACUUCUUUUAUACGGGAAUAACAAGAGUCACGUGUGGCUCCCUGCAUGUACCGUAUGAAUAAGCAUCGGCUAACUCCGUG